rnacentral:rRNA from 1 species
UGCUCGAGUGGCGAACGGGUGAGUAACACGUGGGUGAUCUGCCCUGCACUUGGGAUAAGCUUGGGAAACUGGGUCUAAUACCGGAUAGGACCAUCGUUUAGUGUCGGUGGUGGAAAGUUUUUUCGGUGUGGGAUGAGCUCGCGGCCUAUCAGCUUGUUGGUGGGGUAAUGGCCUACCAAGGCGUCGACGGGUAGCCGGCCUGAGAGGGUGUACGGCCACAUUGGGACUGAGAUACGGCCCAG